rnacentral:piRNA from 1 species
UCAAAGGUGGUUUGUCUAGCAGAGAGC